GCUAGAGGCAUAUUACACUGCAGCUCUCGCCUGGUUUCCCGCUGAGCAGGGUUAAGCCUGGGCAGUACCUGGAUGGGAGACCUCCUGGGGAAAACUAAGGUUGCUGCUGGAC
rnacentral:rRNA from 1 species